rnacentral:rRNA from 1 species
UUUAUGGAGAGUUUGAUCCUGGCUCAGGAUGAACGCUGGCGGCGUGCCUAAUACUUGCAAGUCG